GACGACAUAGCUACUAUAUAAUUCAGAAUUGGAGCAGGAAAGCAGCUGUUGGCCGAUUGUUAGAGGGGGGAAGAGAGUGAAAUGACAGCGUUUAGCAUUUGCAGACUCCUCGCCAGAUGGAUUUUAAAUACUGCUAGGAGUAUUCAACUGUCCAUAUAUUUGCACUCUAUAUGUUAUAUACAAUGAAUGGGGGAAUGUUAAUACAGCAAAUAAUGGUUUUAUAAGAUAAGAUUCCCAAACUGUUUUCAAACAGACAGCCAUUCUCAUCCUUCUAUCUCAUCCUUAUACCAUUCUCAUCAUGAUAUAAAUUAAACCGUGCCUCCCACUGGCAACCAGUUAUUAAAGCCUGGGUUCUGAAAUGUUCUAUCAUCGUUACUAAGAACACGUUAGAAAUUCACGAUUCAUAAAAUCCAAACAUUACUAAAUAUAUAUAAAAUAAGAAAAAAGCAGGAAAAAGGGAUGUGAUUGCCCUGCUAAGCAGGAGCACGGAGGUGCAAAGAUAGGGGGAAAAAUCUCAACAAACCUUCUGGAACUUCAACACGGCCUUCCCAAAGUUCUCACCACGGAAGAUGCCCACCAGGCCUUCCGCUGCAUUGUCAAUCCCC
rnacentral:sRNA from 1 species